UCAAAAUACUAUUGGCUAGGGAUGACAAAAGACAUUGCCAAUUGGGUUGCACAGUGUCUGACUUGCCAGAAGGAGGGAAAGCAAUCAAAUCUGGAUACCACCUUGAAAAGCAUAAAGGUCACUCGGAUCUGGGAAUUGGUGGGAAUGGAUUUAAUAGGACCGUUACCAGUAACAAAGGAUGGAUAUCAGUAUAUACUUACAGCCAUAGAUUAUCUUUCAAGAUGGGUGGAAGCCUUUCCACUUAGAAAUAAGUUGUCAUUUGAGGUGGUACAGAUCAUGUUCAGCAUGAUUCUUCGAUGUGGAUGCCCACAGUGGAUACUGACAGAUCGUGGUGCAGAAUUCAAUAAUAAGGUAAUGAUUUCUUUUUUUCUGGUUAUUUGUACUAUGUACUCAAACUCACUGUCAGGUCACCCAUAGAUCUCAAACAACCACCA